CAGACUGCAGGAGCGGAACUGCUCGGUCCUCCCUUGUUUUCCUGUCAUACCCGUACAGCACUAAUAUUCAAUAGCCGAAUGUAUCGCUGUAGAUUAUUUAGAAGACAGCAAGUUCUUGAGCACAGUCUGAUAUUUGUGGUUAGUAUGAGCCAGAGAACAGCGCCGACGAGUUACGGUAUGGAGGAGGACGGGGCUGCCCGUAAGGAACCAGCACCCACAGCAGAGAGAACCAGAGCUGAUAUUGGGCAGAGCCACAGGCCGGCAUUGCUGCAAGACAGACCAGAAAAAAAACAGCCAGGACAGAAUGGUCAAAUGAGCACCGAUUGUGGAUUCUACUGCUGACGGGAGAGCGUGUGUAGUUUUGUGCUGCUUGUACACAAAGCGGCAGUCCAAACUAGCUUCAGGAUGCCAAGGACAAACAGGAAAACAACAGCUGGGGCAGAACGGUGGAAUGAGCACUGAGUUAGAAGCCGGAGAAGUUGAGGCCCCGACAGUGAUGGCUGGAUGACUGGGCCAGCGCCCGUGGGCUGUGGCUGGUCUGCAGUGGUCAGUAUCUGACAAACAACCAGAUCUCAGUUCAAUACAGCAUCUAUGGAGGCACCAACUCACAACGUACAGGACAUCUUAGUAGCAGAUACCAUAGCUCUAUUGGUCAGGGGUCUAAAGGAGCAAAAGGGGAACCAACACAGUAUUAGGCAGGUGCUCAUAAUGUUCCCCUUGAUCCGUGCAUUUAUAACAACAUGGUUCGGGUCUAGCUAAUGAAUGGGCUGCUUUAACAAGGCAUAGCUGACCCUCUUCUUCGGCUGUGUUGCACCCAGUGCAUUAAAAGUCUUGGUUUAGACACACAAACGUUACACUACAGUGAAGUCCGCACCUGGUUCUCGAGGGCCACCGUCCUGCGUCUGUUCCAACGUCUCUAGCACCCGAUCCAGGCACGACACUCCAUCAGACCAACACACAAACUUGUAUUCAAAGCCACUCAAGGCACCCAUGUUUCUUUUUUCUCUUUUUUUUUUAGAAAAUACUGUGAUAUUUUAUUAAAAAUGUUGCAGAAAAAGUUUAUACAGGUGUCCAGCCAGAAAUAUCUCUAUUAUCGCUUAAGGCAAAACUGCAAACAAACAUAAGACAAAUCAAGGAU